rnacentral:tRNA from 3 species
GCCGGGAUGGCGGAAUCGGUAGACGCGUUGGUCUCAAACACCAAUGUCUGCAAGGGCAUGCCGGUUCGAGUCCGGCUCCCGGUACAA